UUUUUGUUAAGAAUUUGAUCCUGGUUCAGGGUGAAUGCUAGCGGCGUGCCUAAGGUAUGCAAGUCAAACUCGCGUAAGCGGGUGGCGAACGGCUGAGUAAUACGUAGGAAUCUACCUCUAAGUAAGGCAUAGCCCGCCGAAAGGCGGGGUAAUUCCUUAUGUGGUGGCAACACUAAAGAUAAUUAAAUAUCUUUGCGAUUGAGUCGUGGUUCGAUUUUUCGAACUAUGUCAUCAAUCUAAAAGAUUUAUCGCUUAGAGAUGAGCCUACGGCCUAUCAGGUAGUUGGUUGGGUAAAUGCCUACCAAGCCUAUGACGGGUAGCUGGUAUAAGAGUAUGACCAGCCAGAGGGGCACUGAGACACGGGCCUCACCCCUACGGGGGGCAGCAAUCGGGAAUUUUGCGCAAUGGGCGAAAGCCUGACGCAGCGACGCCGCGUGAAGGAUUAAGGCCUUCGGGUUGUAAACUUCGUUGUAAGCACCGGCUAACUACGUGCCAGCAGCAGCGGUCAUACGUAGGGUGCAAGCAUUACCCGGUCUUAUUGGGCGUAAAGAGUUCUGUAGGCGGUUGAACAAGUUGGAAGUUAAAUACCUCGGCUCAACCGAGGUAGGGCUUUCAAUACUGUUUAGCUAAGAGGUGACUAGGGGAUAGCGGAACGCAUGGUGUAGCAGUGAAAUGCGUUGAUAUCAUGCGGAACACCAAGGGGGAAGCCAGCUAUCUGGGGUUAUCCUGACGCUGAGAGACGAAAGCGUGGGGAGCGAAACGGAUUAGAUACCCGUGUAGUCCACGCUGUAAACCAUGCCUGCUAGAUGCUCCGUUUUCGGAGUGUCGAAGCUAACGCGUUAAGCAGGCCGCCUGGGAAGUACGAUCGCAAGAUUAAAACUCAAAGGAAUUGGCGGGGACCCGCACAAGCGGUGGAGCAUGCUCUUUAAUUGGCUGAUAACCCAAGAACCUUACCAGGGCUUGACAUGCAUAAAGUAGUGAACCGAAAGGGGAACGACCGGUAUCCAGUCCGGAGUUUGCACAGGUGUUGCAUGGCUGUCGUCAGUUCGUACCGUGAGGCGUACCCUUAAGUGGGUUAACGAACGCAACCCCUACUGUCAGUUGUAUCACUCUGACGGAACUGCCUCGGUAACGAGGAGGAAGGUGGGGAUGACGUCAAGUCAGUAUUGCUCUUACGCUCUGGGCUAGAAGCAUGCUACAAUGGGGUCGACAGCGCGAAGCGAAGAGGCGACUCGGAGCAAAUCGCUAAACGACCUCUCAGUUCGGAUUGGAGUCUGCAAUUCGACUCCAUGAAGUUGGAAUCGCUAGUAAUCGGCGGUCAGCUAUACGCCGGUGAAUACGUUCUCGGGUCUUGCACACACUGCCCGUCACGUCAGCAAAGCUGGGGCCACCCGAAGUCUCAUUUUGUAUGGGCUCACGGUGGAAUCAGUGAUGAGGAUGAAGUCGAAACAAGGUAGCCGUAGGGGAAUCUGCGGCUGGAUCACCUCCUUUCU
rnacentral:rRNA from 1 species